rnacentral:lncRNA from 1 species
AAACAGCGAACGAUGGUUGCACCAGCACACAACCACGCAGAAAACUUCGAAAACCUCCAAGAACUCACGCUGUGGAUGGGAGCAAAUUUUACACGGCCCCACGGUGGGCGCCUGAUGAUCCUGCCUGUUGACCGGAACGCUGGAAACUGCCUCGUCAAAGGAUCGACGUGCGCACCGCUUCUCACCUCCGUUCCUCUUCGAGAUCCACCUCAAGAACCUGCAAAGAAACAGAGCGGCGCCGCUGCGGCCGAUCGCACUCCAACGCUCAAGUCAGUGACCGAAUCACCAAAUACUAAGAGAACAAGAACCGUG